rnacentral:lncRNA from 1 species
GGUAAAAACCCCUUUUUAUUAUUCUGAAAUAAUAAAUUGAACAAUAUAAUAUAACCAAUUUUAAUUAAACCAUCGAAAUAAAUAUUAUUUUUGGAUAACAAUGAUCCAAACAAAGCUGUAAAGGUUGCAUCUCAGCUUUUUUUGGGGUAAAAAUGAUACAGUCGGUUUGUAUCCGAGCUUCAGCUCUGCAAUUGCCACCCAUUUACUCCCACUCCCUCAGGCAAUCUCUAUUUCUCCACAUUUUCCUGUUUCUCAAUAUGCCCAUGCUCUAUCAUAUGUACCAUAAUUUGCUUACUUUGUGUUUGUAGAAAUGUCGCAACAGCUGACAGCUUUGCAAUUGACGCUCAAAACCUUAGCUAUUCAGUUGUCUCCAGACAGGGGAAA